rnacentral:rRNA from 1 species
UGAGGAAUAUUGGUCAAUGGACGGAAGUCUGAACCAGCCAUGCCGCGUGAAGGAUGAAGGCGUUCUGCGUUGUAAACUUCUUUUAUCUGGGAAGAAACCUCCGAUUUCUAUUGGAGCCGACGGUACCAGAGGAAUAAGCACCGGCUAACUCCGUGCCAGCAGCCGCGGUAAUACGGAGGGUGCAAGCGUUAUCCGGAUUUACUGGGUUUAAAGGGUGUGUAGGCGGACUUUUAAGUCAGUGGUGAAAUCUCCGGGCUCAACCCGGAAACUGCCAUUGAUACUAUUGGUCUUGAAUGUUGUGGAGGUGGGCGGAACGGGUCAUGUAGCGGUGAAAUGCAUAGAUAUGACCCGGAACACCGAUUGCGAAGGCAGCCCGCUACGCAACGAUUGACGCUGAGGCACGAAAGCGUGGGGAUCAAACAGGAUUAGAUACCCUGGUAGUCCACGCCCUAAACGAUGAUUACUCGACGUGUGCGAUACACUGUUGCGCGUCCAAGCGAAAGCAUUAAGUAAUCC